rnacentral:rRNA from 1 species
UGGGGAAUAUUGCACAAUGGGCGCAAGCCUGAUGCAGCAACGCCGCGUGCAGGAUGAAGGCCUUCGGGUUGUAAACUGCUUUUGUACGGAACGAAAAGGCUCUGGCUAAUACCUGGGGCACAUGACGGUACCGUAAGAAUAAGCACCGGCUAACUACGUGCCAGCAGCCGCGGUAAUACGUAGGGUGCGAGCGUUAAUCGGAAUUACUGGGCGUAAAGCGUGCGCAGGCGGUUUUGUAAGACAGAGGUGAAAUCCCCGGGCUCAACCUGGGGACUGCCUUUGUGACUGCAAGGCUGGAGUGCGGCAGAGGGGGAUGGAAUUCCGCGUGUAGCAGUGAAAUGCGUAGAUAUGCGGAGGAACACCGAUGGCGAAGGCAAUCCCCUGGGCCUGCACUGACGCUCAUGCACGAAAGCGUGGGGAGCAAACAGGAUUAGAUAGCCCUGGUAGUCCACGCCCUAAACGAUGUCAACUGGUUGUUGGGUCUUAAUUGACUCAGUAACGAAGCUAACGCGUGAAAGUUGACCGCCUGGGGAGUACGGCCGCAAGGUUGAAACUCAAAUGAAUUGACGGGGUCAUAGC